UCAUGGAUGAAAUACAUCGAAAGGAUAAAUGCAAGAUAGAUAGUGUGUAUUAUUCAUAUAUGAAAUAUAGAUGGAGUUAUACAUGUUAUUGUGUCAGUGAUUAUAAUCCUGACACACGAACUGAGAUACAUGCAUUAAAUUGCACUUUCGAACAUUCCAGUGGCAAAGACAUGGUCAGCAAACAGAACAAGUAUAUUCUACGAAGAAACUGCAAAUGCGGAACGCUUGUCGAUGUUGUAGGGCCUACAGCUGAUGUAAACUAAGUACUUUAAGAUUCGAUGAGGUUAUGAAAGAGGACGAUUACAGGCAUCCUAUUUGAAAGCUAUUAAAUCAAGGCACAACUUUCACCUUCCUGUCAAGGCACAAAUUUCACCUUUUAAUAGAAGAGAACUAUAAAACUUUUACUGGCACCCUCCUUGUAUUCCACUGCUAACUGCUCGCCUACUCUGCAGCAAAGAAACCAUAAAAAGAUACUUUACGAACGAUUUUACAGCGAAAAGUAAUAGAAACUCUUCCAGUCACUGGAACUAUACGUUUUUAAGUCUGUUAAAAACUGUUAAUUUAUAAAAAUACCUUUUUGCACUGCUUUUAUAUUUCUUCUCCACUCUCACAUUUCUGCAGUACUUUACAUUUAUAUUAUUUUGUUAUUGUUAUUAUUAUUAUUAUUAUUAUUAUUAUUGAUAUAUGUCGUGCGGCAUUACAUAAGUAAUAUGUAGGCCUAUUAUUAUUAGUUCACAGUUUACUACAAACCCCCUUUAAUCAGUUCAUAUCCUCAUUAUCAUUUUGUAACUAUUAUUAUUAAUGUCAAUGUAGUCAUUUUAAAACUUACAUUGCAUUUUAAUGUGCGUGUAUUUAUUUACCGUAGUUGCAUUAAAAGCUCUAAAACCUUGCUACAAA